rnacentral:lncRNA from 1 species
UUCGGUUUUUUCAAACGACAGAAGAAAGAUGAAGUUGAGGAAUGGAAACGUAAAAGUAAAUAUUAUGAAACAAGCAAAGCUGAGAGAAAUCCAAAAGCUAACUUAGUUGCGUCUGAAUCAACAGCAUUAUAAAAUAAGUAAACGAAAAAUGUGCUUGAAUAAUAUUACUGACUAUUUGCUGAUAUAUAAUUAAAAUAGGUAGGAAAC